GUGGCGGACGGGUGAGUAACGCGUGGGAAACCUGCCCUGUACCGGGGGAUAACACUUAGAAAUAGGUGCUAAUACCGCAUAAGCGCACGAGGAGACAUCUCCUUGUGUGAAAAACUCCGGUGGUACAGGAUGGGCCCGCGUCUGAUUAGCUGGUUGGCAGGGUAACGGCCUACCAAGGCAACGAUCAGUAGCCGGUCUGAGAGGAUGAACGGCCACAUUGGAACUGAGACACGGUCCAAACUCCUACGGGAGGCAGCAUG
rnacentral:rRNA from 1 species